GACAAUGGAGGCAACUCUGAUCCAGCCAUGCCGCGUGCAGGAAGACUGCCCUAUGGGUUGUAAACUGCUUUUAUACAGGAAGAAACACCUCUACGUGUAGAGGCUUGACGGUACUGUAAGAAUAAGGAUCGGCUAACUCCGUGCCAGCAGCCGCGGUAAUACGGAGGAUCCAAGCGUUAUCCGGAAUCAUUGGGUUUAAAGGGUCCGUAGGUGGAUAAUUAAGUCAGAGGUGAAAUCUUGCAGCUCAACUGUAAAAUUGCCUUUGAAACUGGUUAUCUUGAGUUAUUAUGAAGUAGUUAGAAUAUGUAGUGUAGCGGUGAAAUGCAUAGAUAUUACAUAGAAUACCAAUUGCGAAGGCAGAUUACUAGUAAUCAACUGACACUGAUGGACGAAAGCGUGGGUAGCGAACAGGAUUAGAUACCCUGGUAGUCCACGCCGUAAACGAUGGUUACUAGCUGUUUGGACUUCGGUCUGAGUGGCUAAGCGAAAGUGAUAAGUAACCCACCUGGGGAGUACGUUCGCAAGACUGAAACUCAAAGGAAUUGACGGGGGCCCGCACAAGCGGUGGAGCAUGUGGUUUAAUUCGAUGAUACGCGAGGAACCUUACC
rnacentral:rRNA from 1 species